rnacentral:lncRNA from 1 species
UAACCUAACUAUUAAUUUUCGUACAAGAUUUUCUAUAUUUACUUUUUUAAACUACAUUAAUUUAAGCAAUUUUCAAUAAAAUUUGCUCAUUAAAAAAAAAUUUUGCUAACUUGAAUAUAAGAGACAUUUUGAAGCAAAAUAUUUCUUAACAUAAUAGUCUGACCCCUGCUCCAUACGCCAGAGAUAGAGAAGAGAGAAAGGUUUUUUUUUUGAUAAGCGAGAAGAGAGAAAAGUGAAUAAAGUAGCGGUAGAGAUAGAGAAGAGAGAAAUGAGGUUUAUGAACCGAAGGCGGGUUUACCCAGUAAAGAAGAGCGGUGUAGAGAAAUGUCGGGUUUAUUAGGUUUAGAGUGGGAAUCCUAAGAGCAACUUUAACGCAGGUUGCUU